rnacentral:misc_RNA from 1 species
GGCAGCCUCAUCCGCCUUCUUUAGAUCAUCUUCACUUGCAGCAAGACCUCUGUUUAGCCCAGAAACAGCACUCAAUAACUUGAGUUUGAGAGACCCAAUAAGCUCCGCUUCAGCUUCUUUACUACCAGGUGGCUCAAUAAAAGUGACUUCAUCAAUACCCGACUGGCAAACUAAACUUCUCUUGCUGUCAUAGCUCCUUUCCUCUAAUAAUCUUUGAGUACUUCUCUUGCUUCUUCCUGGGAGAUGACAUGGGAAAGAUUGGCAAGAAUUUGAUAAAGAAUGAUUGUGAGAAAGGGGAAGUCUCGAAUGAAGUAGAGAAGCCAUGGUUGAGCUUGAAUUUCAGAAAAAAGGAUCGAUCUUUU